rnacentral:rRNA from 1 species
GGUUAAGCGACUAAGCGUACACGGUGAAUGCCCUGGCAGUCAGAGGCGAUGAAGGACGUGCUAAUCUGCGAAAAGCGUCGGUAAGGUGAUAUGAACCGUUAUAACCGGCGAUGUCCGAAUGGGGAAACCCAGUGCAAUUCGUUGCACUAUCGUUAACUGAAUACAUAGGUUAACGAGGCGAACCGGGGGAACUGAAACAUCUAAGUACCCCGAGGAAAAGAAAUCAACCGAGAUUCCCCCAGUAGCGGCGAGCGAACGGGGAGCAGCCCAGAGUCUGAAUCAGCUUGUGUGUUAGUGGAACGGUCUGGAAAGUCCGACGGUACAGGGUGAUAGUCCCGUACACCAAAAUGCACAGGCUGUGAACUCGAAGAGUAGGGCGGGACACGUGGUAUCCUGUCUGAAUAUGGGGGGACCAUCCUCCAAGGCUAAAUACUCCUGACUGACCGAUAGUGAACCAGUACCGUGAGGGAAAGGCGAAAAGAACCCCGGCGAGGGGAGUGAAAAAGAACCUGAAACCGUGUACGUACAAGCAGUGGGAGCACCUUCGGGUGUGACUGCGUACCUUUUGUAUAAUGGGUCAGCGACUUAUAUUCUGUAGCAAGGUUAACCGUAUAGGGGAGCCGCAGGGAAACCGAGUCUUAACUGGGCGUUAAGUUGCAGGGUAUAGACCCGAAACCCGGUGAUCUAGCCAUGGGCAGGUUGAAGGUUGGGUAACACUAACUGGAGGACCGAACCGACUAAUGUUGAAAAAUUAGCGGAUGACUUGUGGCUGGGGGUGAAAGGCCAAUCAAACCGGGAGAUAGCUGGUUCUCCCCGAAAGCUAUUUAGGUAGCGCCUCGUGAACUCAUCUUCGGGGGUAGAGCACUGUUUCGGCUAGGGGGUCAUCCCGACUUACCAACCCGAUGCAAACUACGAAUACCGAAGAAUGUUAUCACGGGAGACACACGGCGGGUGCUAACGUCCGUCGUGAAGAGGGAAACAACCCAGACCGCCAGCUAAGGUCCCAAAGUCAUGGUUAAGUGGGAAACGAUGUGGGAAGGCACAGACAGCCAGGAUGUUGGCUUAGAAGCAGCCAUCAUUUAAAGAAAGCGUAAUAGCUCACUGGUCGAGUCGGCCUGCGCGGAAGAUGUAACGGGGCUAAACCAUGCACCGAAGCUGCGGCAGCGACACUAUGUGUUGUUGGGUAGGGGAGCGUUCUGUAAGCCUGCGAAGGUGUGCUGUGAGGCAUGCUGGAGGUAUCAGAAGUGCGAAUGCUGACAUAAGUAACGAUAAAGCGGGUGAAAAGCCCGCUCGCCGGAAGACCAAGGGUUCCUGUCCAACGUUAAUCGGGGCAGGGUGAGUCGACCCCUAAGGCGAGGCCGAAAGGCGUAGUCGAUGGGAAACAGGUUAAUAUUCCUGUACUUGGUGUUACUGCGAAGGGGGGACGGAGAAGGCUAUGUUAGCCGGGCGACGGUUGUCCCGGUUUAAGCAUGUAGGCUGGUUGUCCAGGCAAAUCCGGAUAAUCAAGGCUGAGGUGUGAUGACGAGGCACUACGGUGCUGAAGUAACAAAUGCCCUGCUUCCAGGAAAAGCCUCUAAGCAUCAGGUAACAUCAAAUCGUACCCCAAACCGACACAGGUGGUCAGGUAGAGAAUACCAAGGCGCUUGAGAGAACUCGGGUGAAGGAACUAGGCAAAAUGGUGCCGUAACUUCGGGAGAAGGCACGCUGGUGUGUAGGUGAAGUCCCUGCGGAUGGAGCUGAGACCAGUCGAAGAUACCAGCUGGCUGCAACUGUUUAUUAAAAACACAGCACUGUGCAAACACGAAAGUGGACGUAUACGGUGUGACGCCUGCCCGGUGCCGGAAGGUUAAUUGAUGGGGUUAUCCGUAAGGAGAAGCUCUUGAUCGAAGCCCCGGUAAACGGCGGCCGUAACUAUAACGGUCCUAAGGUAGCGAAAUUCCUUGUCGGGUAAGUUCCGACCUGCACGAAUGGCGUAAUGAUGGCCAGGCUGUCUCCACCCGAGACUCAGUGAAAUUGAACUCGCUGUGAAGAUGCAGUGUACCCGCGGCAAGACGGAAAGACCCCGUGAACCUUUACUAUAGCUUGACACUGAACAUUGAGCCUUGAUGUGUAGGAUAGGUGGGAGGCUUUGAAGCGUGGACGCCAGUCUGCGUGGAGCCAACCUUGAAAUACCACCCUUUAAUGUUUGAUGUUCUAACGUUGGCCCCUGACCGGGGUUGCGGACAGUGUCUGGUGGGUAGUUUGACUGGGGCGGUCUCCUCCCAAAGCGUAACGGAGGAGCACGAAGGUUAGCUAAUCCUGGUCGGACAUCAGGAGGUUAGUGCAAUGGCAUAAGCUAGCUUGACUGCGAGCGUGACGGCGCGAGCAGGUGCGAAAGCAGGUCAUAGUGAUCCGGUGGUUCUGAAUGGAAGGGCCAUCGCUCAACGGAUAAAAGGUACUCCGGGGAUAACAGGCUGAUACCGCCCAAGAGUUCAUAUCGACGGCGGUGUUUGGCACCUCGAUGUCGGCUCAUCACAUCCUGGGGCUGAAGUAGGUCCCAAGGGUAUGGCUGUUCGCCAUUUAAAGUGGUACGCGAGCUGGGUUUAGAACGUCGUGAGACAGUUCGGUCCCUAUCUGCCGUGGGCGCUGGAGAAUUGAGGGGGGCUGCUCCUAGUACGAGAGGACCGGAGUGGACGCAUCACUGGUGUUCGGGUUGUCAUGCCAAUGGCACUGCCCGGUAGCUAAAUGCGGAAGAGAUAAGUGCUGAAAGCAUCUAAGCACGAAACUUGCCCCGAGAUGAGUUCUCCCUGAGACUUUAAGUCUCCUGAAGGAACGUUAAAGACGAUGACGUUGAUAGGCCGGGUGUGUAAGCGCAGCGAUGCGUUGAGCUAACCGGUACUAAUGAACCGUGAGGCUUAACCUU